AAGAUGGAUUAUCACUUCAAUAGUCUCUGAUCGAUCCAGGUGCUUAAGUGACUUCCACCAGUUUACUGGUGUGACUUUCUUUACAACUUCAUCAGCAAACAUAUUUCUUGAAUGGUUCACUCUUAGCCCUGAAAUAUAUUGUAGUUGGUAUUAUGGAGGGAUGAUUCCCGGAUGCCCAUGUCAUAGCCAACUCCUCUUCUUCCGCAGUUAAGGAUUGACCCUGGUACCAGAUAUUGAAAAUACUGGCAAGAAAAUGAGCUGGAAAUAGUGCUUGAUCCAUUUGUUUUUUUAAUGCCUGUGAUUUAAUUCUGUCAUUGCAUAUUUCUCUUUUUAAGUUCUCACUCAGUUCCUUCCAAAUUUUAACAGCAUCAGCAAUAAAAUAGCGAUUUCUAUGCACUUUAAAUUCAGAUUUU